GCUGGGCAUGGUGGUGCAUGCCUGUAGUCCCAACUACUCGGGAAGCUGAGGUAGGAGGAUCACCUGAGCCCAGGGAGUUCAAGGCUGCAGUGAGCUGUGAUUGUAACACAGCACUCCAGCCUGGGUGACAGAGUGAGACCCUGUCUCAA
rfam:Homo sapiens chromosome 5, GRCh38 reference primary assembly.